AUGAACGCUGGCGGCGUGCCUAAUACAUGCAAGUCGAGCGCACAGACGAGGAGCUUGCUCCUCUGACGUUAGCGGCGGACGGGUGAGUAACACGUGGAUAACCUACCUAUAAGACUGGGAUAACUUCGGGAAACCGGAGCUAAUACCGGAUAAUAUAUUGAACCGCAUGGUUCAAUAGUGAAAGACGGUUUUGCUGUCACUUAUAGAUGGAUCCGCGCCGCAUUAGCUAGUUGGUAAGGUAACGGCUUACCAAGGCGACGAUGCGUAGCCGACCUGAGAGGGUGAUCGGCCACACUGAAACUGAGACACGGUCCAGACUCCUACGGGAGGCAGCAGUAGGGAAUCUUCCGCAAUGGGCGAAAGCCUGACGGAGCAACGCCGCGUGAGUGAUGAAGGUCUUCGGAUCGUAAAACUCUGUUAUUAGGGAAGAACAAAUGUGUAAGUAACUAUGCACGUCUUGACGGUACCUAAUCAGAAAGCCACGGCUAACUGCGUG
rnacentral:rRNA from 1 species